UACAGCGGUCUCAAGCGUUGUUCGGAUUCAUUGGGCGUAACGGGUGCGUAGGUGGCGCUGUAAGUCGGGUGUGAAAUUUCGGAGCUUAACUCCGAAACUGCAUUCGAUACUGCGGUGCUUGAGGACUGGAGAGGAGACUGGAAUUCAUGGUGUAGCAGUGAAAUGCGUAGAGAUCAUGAGGAAGACCAGUGGCGAAGGCGGGUCUCUGGACAGUUCCUGACACUGAGGCACGAAGGCCAGGGGAGCAAACGGG
rnacentral:rRNA from 1 species